GACUCUCGGCAACGGAUAUCUCGGCUCUCGCAUCGAUGAAGAACGUAGCGAAAUGCGAUAUAGUAUAUAUUAUAAUAGAUGAGUUUUUACUCAAUUCUCAGCCUAUCCACCUCAGCAUGUGGAUCC
rfam:Brassica napus, WGS project CCCW01000000 data, contig: 16573